CACGAAGGAGUCAUCGCCAUUAGCAUCAUCGGAAUGUCGUUGCAACCGUUGCAAGACGUUUGAACGGUCUCCGCGCUCGCUCGUCCAUUUGUGAACAAAGGAGGCCGUGAUUUUGCGUCGUAUGGGCGGCUGCAGUGUUGCGUCCCGUCAGGCCAUGAAAGAAGGAAGGAGGAUAUGAUUUUGCGUCGUAAUGGGUUUUUGUUGUUUGUUCGGAGCAGCGGCUGCAGUGUUGCGUCCCGUCCGGCUCUACUUUGUUGAACACUAAGCUGGGUGAACCAACUUUGUUGUUGCUAUGACCGUAUUACUCAGUUUUACUCACUUGUGUUUGAACGUUACUAAUUUGCGAUUGCACGCCCUAUUUCAGACACAUAUCUCUCCAGCGCUUCAGAGACGUCGCUGGCGCCGAAAUUCUAGCUGUUUCACCGUGGGUCGCCAGAAGAACAGCAGAUCACUGACUGUCAAUUGUGCGACGCGACACUAUGUGGCACGAAGGAUGUGUACGUGUGAAAUACGUAACUACUGUGUGCGCGGGAUGUUUUGUAUGAUUGUGUCGACACUGGAUACCACUUUCAAGGUAUGCAUUUUCGGAAUAAAGUAGAUACAUAUAUAAUUUUGCAGUACUUCAUUUCGUGUAUUUUAUGCGUGUUGCGAGUAAGUGAACAUAUGCACUCUUAAAAAUGAACUUCACCGCAUAGCAUGCUCCUAGCCGACCAUCAACUCGAAUGAUAUCGCUAUGUGACCUGAUUUGUUCAAAACGGUAGGCGCACGGCUUUUUUGUGAUACUUACGCUGUUCAUAAUUGUCACAAAAAUGGCGUACACCUCCCGUUUUCAGG